UACGUAGGUGACCGGCGUUGUCCGGAUUUACUGGGCGUAAAGAGCGCGCAGGCGGUCGUUCAAGUCGAGUGUGAAAGCCCCCGGCUCAACUGGGGAGGGUCACUCGAUACUGAUCGACUUGAAGGCAGGAGAGGGAAGCGGAAUUCCCGGUGUAGUGGUGAAAUGCGUAGAUAUCGGGAGGAACACCAGUGGCGAAGGCGACUUCCUGGCCUGUUCUUGACGCUGAGGCGCGAAAGCUAGGGGAGCAAACGGG
rnacentral:rRNA from 1 species